rnacentral:rRNA from 1 species
CAUGUAGGCGGUUGCUUAAGUCGGACGUGAAAGCUCCUGGCUCAACUGGGAGAGGCCGUUCGAAACUAGGUAACUCGAGGAUGGUAGAGGAGAGUGGAAUUCCCGGUGUAGUGGUGAAAUGCGUAGAUAUCGGGAAGAACACCAGUAGCGAAGGCGGUCUUCUGGGCCACAACUGACGCUGAGGCGCGAAAGCUAGGGGAGCGAACA